AGAGUUUGAUCAUGGCUCAGAUUGAGCGCUGGCGGCGUGCCUAACACAUGCAAGUCGAGCGGUAGCAGGUGUAGCAAUACAUUGCUGACGAGCGGCGAACGGGUGAGUAAUGCUUUGGAAUCUUCCCAGUAGUGGGGAAUAACCAGUCGAAAGAUUGGCUAAUACCGCAUACGUCCGAGAGGGGAAAGCGGGGGAUCGUAAGACCUCGCGCUAUUGGAUGAGCCAAAGUCGGAUUAGCUAGUUGGUGAGGUAACGGCUCACCAAGGCGACAAUCCGUAGCUGGUCUGAGAGGACGACCAGCCACACCGGAACUGAGACACGGUCCGGACUCCUACGGGAGGCAGCAGUGGGGAAUAUUGGACAAUGGGGGAAACCCUGAUCCAGCGACGCCGCGUGUGUGAAGAAGGCCUGCGGGUUGUAAAGCACUUUUAGUGGGGACAAAAAGUCAUGGGAUAACACCUCGUGAUCUUGAUUUAACUCACAGAAAAAGCACCGGCUAACUCUGUGCCAGCAGCCGCGGUAAUACAGAGGGUGCGAGCGUUAAUCGGAAUUACUGGGCGUAAAGCGCGCGUAGACGGUUUUGUAAGUCAGAUGUGAAAUCCCCGGGCUCAACCUGGGAACUGCAUUUGAGACUGCAUGGCUAGAGUAUGGAAGAGGGAAGUGGAAUUUCCGGUGUAGCGGUGAAAUGCGUAGAUAUCGGAAGGAACACCAGUGGCGAAAGCGACUUCCUGGUCCAAUACUGACGUUCAUGUGCGAAAGCGUGGGGAGCAAACAGGAUUAGAUACCCCGGUAGUCC
rnacentral:rRNA from 1 species